CAGUCGCCACGGGAAUACGUAGGUGGCAAGCGUUGUCCGGAAUUAUUGGGCGUAAAGCGCGCGCAGGCGGUCCUUUAAGUCUGAUGUGAAAGCCCACGGCUCAACCGUGGAGGGUCAUUGGAAACUGGGGGACUUGAGUGCAGAAGAGGAAAGCGGAAUUCCACGUGUAGCGGUGAAAUGCGUAGAGAUGUGGAGGAACACCAGUGGCGAAGGCGGCUCUCUGGUCUGUAACUGACGCUGAGGCGCGGAAGCGUGGGGAGCAAACAGGAUUAGAUACCCCCGUAGUCCCUGUCUCUUAUAC
rnacentral:rRNA from 1 species